UGCGAUGUAGCUCAACGGAUAGAUCGCCCUAGGUUCAACGGUGCACCGGCCGGGAGGUUGGAGGUUCGAGUCCUCCCGUCGCAGCCA
rnacentral:tRNA from 1 species